GGGCCCAGUGGCGUCGGGCCUCCUGAGGGGGCUGCGAGUGUCAGUCGGCUCUCCGCACGUGUCCGCGGCCUCGCGGAGCAGCACUGUAAGCUAUUUGGCAUAUGAAGGUCUUGACCUAAGAAAACCAUCUUGGAUAACCACAGCAAGGAAAAGGAAAAAUGCAACACCUAGGAGAUUUCAGUAAACAGUAGAAUCAUGCCAACCUAAUCUGUGUUAAAAUGCUUGGAAUGUGGGAGCCGCUGAUGAUGCCUGUUGUCUGUGUGUCUGACUGAAUCCUUUCUUUUCUCAGAGCAGCAAAGCAAAGCCUGGGAACCAGGCCAAAUGCCUGCCACUUACCUUAAAUUGAUCAGCCACUUUGAGAUUAAAACCCCUGAAAGCUGCCACACCGUGAAAACAAGGCCUCCUUCACAUUAAAGGCAAAUUGCGACUUUG